rnacentral:tRNA from 4 species
UGGGGUAUCGUCUAAUGGCAGGACGUCGGUUUCUGGCACCGUUAAUCUAGGUUCGAGUCCUAGUACCCCAGCCA